UGCACAUGAUGCUAUUCUCUCACGAUGGUCUUCCAAGUCUCAUGGUGAAGGGGCUUUGACGACAAUGCCACACGGCUUUGCUGAUGCCUAGUG
rnacentral:snoRNA from 1 species